GACGAACGCUGGCGGCGUGCUUAACACAUGCAAGUCGAACGGAAAGGCCCUGCUUUUGUGGGGUGCUCGAGUGGCGAACGGGUGAGUAACACGUGAGUAACCUGCCCUUGACUUUGGGAUAACUUCAGGAAACUGGGGCUAAUACCGGAUAGGAGCUCCUGCUGCAUGGUGGGGGUUGGAAAGUUUCGGCGGUUGGGGAUGGACUCGCGGCUUAUCAGCUUGUUGGUGGGGUAGUGGCUUACCAAGGCUUUGACGGGUAGCCGGCCUGAGAGGGUGACCGGCCAAAUUGGGACUGAGAUACGGCCCCGACCCCUACGGGAGGGAGGAGUGGGGAAUAUUGCACAAUGGGCGGAAGCCUGAUGCAGCAACGCCGCGUGCGGGAUGACGGCCCUCGGGUUGGAAACCGCCUUCGCCUGUGACGAAGCGUGAGUGACGGUAAUGGGUAAAGAAGCACCGGCUAACUACGUG
rnacentral:rRNA from 1 species